rnacentral:rRNA from 1 species
CGCGAACGCUGGCGGCAUGGCUAAAACAUGCAAGUCGAACGCGAACGCACCUUCGGGUGUUAUUAGAGUGGCGAAAGGGCGAGGAAUAUGUUCCUACAUACCCCCAGGUCAGGGAUAGCCCAGGGAAACUUGGAGUAAUACCUGAUGUGGUCUCCGGAUCAAAGCCUUCGGGCGCCAGGGGAGUGGGGAACAUCCUAUCAGCUUGUUGGUGAGGUAAAGGCUCACCAAGGCUUAGACGGGUAGCGGGUGUGAGAGCAUGACCCGCCGCAUCGGGACUGAGACACUGCCCGG